UACGUUGCCGACGGUCCAGUGCAGCUUUCAUGUUCUGGGAGGGAGUCUGUUGGGAACUAUCGAGGAUACGGGAAGGCCGCAACCGCGCACGUAUUGUAAAAUAACUUCUUCUUGGGCAAGUUGGUGAUUACGGCAAACACAGAUUACAGUGCUGCACCAUAGGGCCAAGAAGAUGGCGUGUUUGCGUAUGGUGGUAGCUAUCAGUGCAAUCGCUCUGCAUUUAUGCCUGAUUUAUUCGGCAGUGGUGGAAGGAAAAGCGACAAAUAUGGCCAACAUGGGAAAGGUGAACGAUCCGUGCGAUGGCAAUAACCAGUGCGGUGCUGGAUUGUGCUGUGUGCGCCUCAAGCCUGAAGAUGGAACAGUGUGCCAAAAACUGGGUGAAAUGGGAGAUCGGUGCUCUAAUGUUACGCUUCAGGAACACACUGCAGUACCUUCCUGUCGAGCAGAUGUCGAAGCUGCAGGAGCAACAACACAGGUUUACACGCCUCCUUACGACGGAGCGUGCCCUUGCACUAAAGGU